rnacentral:piRNA from 1 species
UAUUUAGGGAGCUUUAGCCUUAGUGGAUGAC